UGCAUGGAAUCUGUAGAUUGCUUUGGGUAGUAUAGUCAUUUUCACAAUAUUGAUUCUUCCAAUCUAAGAACAUGGUAUAUUUCGAGUACAAGUCUUUCGCCUUCUUAGGCAGGUUUUUUCCUAGGUAUUUUAUUCUUUUUGUUACAGUGGUAAAUGGGAGUGUUUCCUUAAUUUCUCUUUCUGAUUUUUCAUUGUUGGUGUAUAGGAAUGCCAGCGAUUUCUGUGCAUUAAUUUUGUAUCCUGCAACCUUACCAAAUUCAUUGAUUAGUUCUACUGGUUUUCUGGUGGCAUCUUUAGGAUUUUCUAUAUGUAGUAUCCUGUCAUUGACAAACAGUGACAGUUUUACUUCUUCUUUCCAAUUUGUAUUCCUUUUCUUUUUCUUCUCUAAUUGCUGUGGCUAGGACUUCCAAAACUAUGUUGAAUAAUAGUGGUGAGACUGGACAUCCUUGUCUUGUUCCUGAUCUUAGUGGAAAUGCUUUCAGUUUUUCACCAUUGAGUAUGAUGCUUGCUGUGGAUUUGUCAUAUAUGGCCUUUAUUAUGUUGAGGUAGGUUCCCUCUAUGCCCAUUUUCUGGAGACUUUUUAUCAUAAAUGGGUGUUGAAUUUUGUCAAAAGCUUUUUCUGCAUCUAUUGAGACGAUCAUAUGGAUUUUAUUCCUUAAUUUGUUAAUGUGGUGUAUCAUAUUGUUUGAUUUGUGUAUAUUAAAGAAUCUUUGCAUACCUGGGAUAAAUCCCACUUGAUCAUGGUGUAUGAUUCUUUUAAUGUGCUGUUGGAUUCUGUUUGCUAGUAUUUUGUUCAGGAUUUUUGCAUCUAUGUUCAUCAGUGAUAUUGGUCUAUAAUUUUCUUUUUUGAUAUCUUUUUCUGGUUUUGGUAUCAGGGUGACAGUGGCUUCGUAGAAUGAAUUUGGGAGUGUUUCUCCCUCUGCAAUUUUUUGGAGGAGUUUGAGAAGGAUCAGUGUUAGCUCUUCUCUAAAUGUUUGAUGGAAUUCGCCUGUGAACUCAUCUGGUCCUGGACUUUUGUUUGUUGGAAGAUUUUUAAUUACCGUUUCAAUUUCAUUACUUGUGAUAGGUCUGUUUAUAUUUUCUAAUUCUUCCUGGUUCAGUCUUAGAAAAUUGUACUUUUCCAAGAAUUUGUCCAUUUCUUCAUGGCUGUCCAUUUUAUUGGCAUACAGUAUUUGUAGUAGGCUCUUAUAAUCCUUUGUAUUUCUGCAGUGUCAGUUGUGAUUUCUCCUUUUUCAUUUCUAAUUUUAUUGAUUAGCGUCCUCUCCCUUUUUUUCUUGGUGAGUCUGGGUAAGGAUUUAUCAAUUUUGUUUAUCUUCUCAAAGAAACAGCUUUUAAUUUUAUUGAUCUUUGCUAUUGUUUUCUUCAUUCCUAGUUCAUUUAUUUCUGCUCUGAUCUUUAUGAUUUCUUUCUUUCUACUGACUUUGGGUUUUCUUUGCUCUUCUUUCUCUAGUUGUUUUAAGUAUAAGGUUACAUUGUUUAUUUGAGAUUUUUCUUGUUUCUUGAGGUGACAUUGAAUUGCUAUGAACUUCAUUCUUAGAACUGCUUUUGCUGCAUCCCAUAGGUUUUGGUUCAUUGUGUUUUCAUUGUCAUUUGUUUCUGUGUAUUUUUUUAUUCUUUGAUUUCUUCAGUGAUAUCUUGCUUAUUUAGUAGCGCACUGUUUAGCCUCCAUGUAUUUGUGUUUUUUACAGUUUUUUUUUCCUGUAAUUGAUUUCUAAUCUCAGCGUUGUGCUCAGUAAAGAUGCUAGAUAUGAUUUAAAUUUUCUUAAAUUUUCUGACACUUGAUUUGUAAUCAAUCGAGGCUUGAUUUGUACAUCUUGAUUUGACCCAAGAUGUAAUCUAUCCUGGAGAAUGUUCCGUGUGCACUUGAGAAGAAAGUGUAGUGUAUUCUGCCUUUUUGGAUGGAAUGUUCUAUAAAUAUCAAUUAAUAUCUGAUCUAUUGUGUCAUUUAAAGCUUGUGUUUCCUUAUUUAUUUUCUGUUUGGAUGAUCUGUCUGUUGGUGUAAGUGGGGUGUUAAAAUCCCCUAUAUAAUUGUGUUACAGUCUGUUUCUCCUUUCAUGAUUGUUAGCAUUUGCCUUAUGUUUUUGAGGUGCUCCUAUGUUGGGUGCAUAAACAUUUAUAAUUGUUAUAUCUUUUUCUUGGAUUGAUCCUUUGAUCAUUAUGUAGUAUCCCUCCUUAUCUCUUGUAACAAUCUUUAUUUUAAAGUCUAUUUUAUCUGAUAUAAGUAUUGCUACUCCAGCUUUCUUUUGAUUUCCGUUUGCAUGGAAUAUCUUUUUCCAUCCCUUCACUUUCAGUCUGUAUGUGUCCCUAGGUCUGAAGUGGGUCUCCUGUAGACAGCAUAUAUAUGGGUCUUGUUUUUGUAUCCAUUCAGCCAGUCUGUCUCUUUUGGUUGGGACAUUUAAUCCAUUUACAUUCAAGGUUAUUAUCAAUAUGUAUGUUCCUAUUACUAUUUUCUUAAUUGUUUUGGGUUUGUUUUUGUGUGUCUUCUUCUCUUGUGUUUCCCACUUAGAGAAGUUUCUUUAGCAUUUGUUGUAAAGCUGGUUUGGUGGUGCUGAAUUCUCUUAGCUUUUGCUUGUUUGAAAAGCUUUUGAUUUCUCCAUUGAAUCUGAAUGAGAUCCUUGCUGGGUAAUCUUGGUUGUAGGUUUUUGUCUUUCAUCACAUUAAGUAUUUCCUGACACUCCCUUCUGGCCUGAAGAGUUUCUGCUGAAAAAUCAGCUGAUAACUUUAUGGGAAUUCCUUUGUAUGUUAUCUUUUGUUUUUCCCUUGCUGCUUUUAAUAUUUUUUCUUUGACUUUAGUUUUUGUGUGUUUGAUUAAUAUGUGUUUUGGUUUGUUUUUCCUAGGGUUUAUCCUGUAUGGGACUCUCUGUGCUUCCUGGACUCAGGGCUCCCAAAGGAAAUCUUCCAGAAAAUACAAAUGGCCCAACUCUGAACAGGAAUGGAAAGCAGUUCUGAAGGCUGAGAAGUCCAAGACCAAGAUGCUGGCAGGCUUGGUGUCUGGAAGCGCAUGCAGGGGACAGAUGCUGGGUUGUGGUCUGGAGAUCUGCUGAGGACCCGGGUGCUCAGGAUGGCAGGAGGUUGGGAAUCCUGUGUGGACUCACUGCUUGGAGCUUAACACUGAACCUGCUUUCUGGCUUCUGACCUCCCCAAAGCCCGCAAGCCCACUGCAGCCUGGACCUCAGGUGAGACUAAAAUCAUCCUUUCUUUGGUACCAAAAUCACCACUCUUACAGUAAUUGUGAAGUCCCAGAUCAAACAUUUGGAUCUUCUUACUUGGGAAGUAUCUUUUGGACAUCAAAGGCAGAUCAGCUAGAACACUAUCAAGAUGACGCAAUUGAGAGAAUACUGUGUGGCAAUUCUCAUGAUACAGCCAAACCUAACUGUGACCUAUUCUCAGUACCUGACCAAUGCAUUAAAGAAGGAUUCUCAAACAAGAUCUGAGUCUCUGGGAUUGACACCUAUGAAGACUCAAAAUUGAAGAACUAUAAGGACUGAGUAUUCUAGUGCCUGCUCUACUGGGUAAAUUAAAUCCAAAAGAACUGGGGGAAGAAAUGCUUCCAUGUUUUGCCUAUAUAAACCCAAUAUUUAGUUAGUUACCUGUUUCACAAGAACAUGUGACUAAGGUGAAGAGAAAUGAUCUCUUCCUUUAUACAAUUACCUAAUUCCUUAUAGCUUUCUAAGUCAGUUUUCAAUUAAGCACCAUUUCCUACAUGAACUGUUACUCCUACCAAAUGCAACUGUUACAUAGGGCUGAACUGGACAUAAUUUAAACAUUUUCAUGAAAAAAAACACUAAUUGGCUUAGCACUACACCCUUACGGGGAAGGAGAAGCAUUUACAGAAAUACAAUUUGUGAAGAAUAAACGUAUUUUGGAACCUGAGCCAAAGGUUUCUCACCAAUACCUUAAUAAGUCACCAUGCAGGUUGUUUUCACAGGCAACACCACAGCCAGGUCAACUGUUUGUUUGUUGCUCCUGGCAACUUCCAUUGUCCCAAAAUAUGUGGAAGAUGGAGAAGCCAAUGACUGAAAUCCACAGUUAGGAAUACAGGCCAAACCUCAACAAACUGCUACUGGAAGCAACUGGAUACCAUAAUAUUAAACAUAGACAUGUGAAAACAGAAUGAGCACACAAAGAAAUGAACAGCUGCUAAGAUCACAAUGCUCAGAGUCAGACCCAAUGAGGGUAUUACCACACACACACACACAGAUACAUCUCACCAUACCUGUUUACAAUCCCAGGCCCUUGCUCUCAAAUAAAUAUAUUGAACAUUUACAACAGAAUGAAUGCCUUAUGAAUGCAAGCUUUUAUUAUAACUCUAAAUAAAAGUCAUACUUCUAAAAUAA